rnacentral:rRNA from 1 species
UACGUAGGGUGCGAGCGUUGUCCGGAAUUAUUGGGCGUAAAGAGCUCGUAGGCGGUCUGUCGCGUCGGUCGUGAAAACUUGGGGCUUAACCCUGAGCUUGCGGUCGAUACGGGCAUGACUGGAGUUCGGCAGGGGAGACUGGAAUUCCUGGUGUAGCGGUGAAAUGCGCAGAUAUCAGGAGGAACACCAAUGGCGAAGGCAGCUCGCUGGGACGGUACUGACGCUGAGGCGCGAAAGCGUGGGGAGCGAACAGG